GCCCCCAACUCACACCUGCCCCAAGCCCCAUAACCCCUCUGGGUGGCCCUAACAACAACUACUUGAACCCUAGUGCCAUGACGGACACCUGGCCAGAUGAAAUCACUGUAUCCAUUGGAAGGUUCACAUAAUAUCUAUAUUGACUGUUAGGACUUACUUAGAAGUUAGAUGUUAUAUUUCAAGCCUUGCUUAAAAAGUUGGUAAUGCUUAUGUGUUCAAUAAAUUAGGAUUUGAGACUGGAAUAGUUUCUCCGAUCAUUUCAUUUUCAUUUACCCCACCCCUUAACUAAAUUUAGUACAACACAAUCCCAUUUAUAAUUCUCAUGAGCAAGUUGUAAAUUGCAAAUCCUAAAACUCACACAUUUCCUGUCUGGUUUUUGAUUGUGUUAUGAAAGCUGAAAUGAGAAAAAUGGUUACUCCCAAUAUUUGUGUCAUGUUCUGGUAUGAAAAAAUAUAUAUUCAGACCCCAGGGAGAUUUUUUUUGCAGAGUUGAACAUAGACCAUAACAAACUAGAAAUUAGGCCAAGUAUGUUUUGUUAUAUACUCAAAACCCUGGCCACAUUGUAGCAAACUAGAAUAGUGUUUUAAUUGCCUAGAAGCUGUUUAUGGUCUCCAGAAGAAAGAGUGUUUCUGAUUCUACAAGUACUUAUAUACAGAAGCACAUGUACUCACAGGAAUAGUCCUUAUAAAUGUAACUGAUUACAGGAUCAGGCCCCAUGUUCUACUCCUCAAAUUUUGAAUGUCUUGCAAGCUUAAAUCUGGAAUACAAUUUGAUAUUUUACUGAGUUUUCCCCUGAAAUUAUGAGUUGGAGCUUGAAACUAUGAGAAGCUCCUGUGUCAUAAACCCGGCAAAGUUUUAAUGGAUGGUGUAAUUUCCUGUGCCAUUCAGCAUGGCAUCUUGUCUGUAUGGGUUUUUCAGACUUCGCCAUUGCUUGGGGAAAGGACAGCAUGUUGCUGGGUUAGAUUCCGGAGGUUCCUUGGGGGUUCUCACCUACCAUGUCUUCCUGGAAUAAAUUUGUUUCAUUGGGAGGAAGAUGAUAUGUCCCACUCUUCCUGGCCCCCUCCUUCAAUCUUCCCAUUCGUCUUCCCGUUUGGGGUUUCACCUCCCCUACAACUCACUUAACACCAACAAAGAAAGUUGAACUCCAAUCUUCUGGGUUUGGUUUCGGUAUGGUUAUAUUUAUCUUGGCCUUUCAAAUUGUGGUACAUGCGUUCGGACAUCAGUUCAUCCUGGUUUGCUUGGGCCAUAGUGGGACCGCCUAGACUCUUUCCUGACCCCGGGUUACCUUGCUUCCCGGCGCCAUUUCCUCUCUCACUGGUUUGUAUUCACCAUGGUUCAGAUGGCCAUCACUUCUCUCCUCAGGUUCCUGGUGGAUCCAAUCUUUUCCGAAAACAUUGGGAGUCCACAGCAUUGUUUCAGAUGAGUAUUUUAGCCCUCUUGGGCUUGUUAUUUCUGGAGGCCUCCUGGGGCUGCCACCACUUUCUCUCAGUGGGGCUUUGCUCUGCUUUGGACUGCUCUGGGCCCGCCAGAGAACCUACUUUCGGUUCCUCCUGCCCACUGUCCAUUGGGGUUUUUAUUCCCCUUUCAAGGGGCUGGCCAGCGAAUCGGCACCAGUACACUGCCAUAAAACACGCCCAUGCUGGCACGGGAGCUGGUCCCGGCUCCUCCUGGACCAGUUGCUCUCUUCUUUUUUUUCUUCUUCCAGUGCAGCAUUUUUCCCGGCUGCAGCUCUGCUCCCGCUACGCUUCCAACUCGGCACAGCCUCCCGCCAGCUCCAUUUGUCCUGCCAGCUCCAUUUCUCUUUAGGUAAGUCUUCCUCCAUAGCCUUGUUCCUGGUUUGGGAAAUCCUUACUGAAAACACUUUCCAGCCUGAAGAGGAUAACAUGGGAGGAGGCACAAAGGGGAAUUGAAAGGAAGUUGAACUAAUGAUCAUAACAGCUGGCAAGUAUUUUAUUUACUGGAUUUAUAUACCACCCUCCCCCCAAAAGUGACAACCAACAAGGGCAGUGAUCAGUGCGGUGGGAAUACCCAUUCCCUCAAAACUCCUCUGAGGUUGCCCAGCACACUUCAUACAAACCAUCACAGCCUUCAUAUUAUGGUAAACUGCAGCCACUGCCUCAUCUGGCACUGAUUUGGAGCCUGUGUGCAUUACAAGAUUUGACAGCAAAUAACUACUGCCACAGGGAAGCUGGGAAAGCGUGUUCCCACCCACACAGCUUCCGGUGGUUGCGCGUGGCUCCAAUACAGCCAGUGUGCCUGCAAGGACCAGAUCUGCUAACCAGAAGUGUGGACAUGUCUAUACACGCAGUCUGCAGCUUCCUUUAGGUGGAGAGUCCUUCUGUUGCUCACACAGCAGACAUUGCUCUGCUGGCAGAACAAGGGGGAGCUGUACGUCUGGAUACAGUCAAGUUUUUGCUGGCAAAAUUAUCAGG